UACGUAGGGGGCCAGCGUUGUUCGGAAUUACUGGGUGUAAAGGGUUCGUAGGCGGUGUGGCAAGUCGGGAGUGAAAUCUCUGGGCUCAACCCAGAGUCUGCUUCCGAAACUGCUGUGCUUGAGUGUGGGAGAGGCGCGUGGAAUUGCAGGUGUAGCGGUGAAAUGCGUAGAUAUCUGCAGGAACACCCGUGGCGAAGGCGGGUCUCUGGGUCGAUACUGACGCUGAGGAGCGAAAGCGUGGGGAGCGAACAGG
rnacentral:rRNA from 1 species